rnacentral:rRNA from 1 species
CCUAUGGGAGGCAGCAGUGGGGGAUAUUGCACAAUGGGGGAAACCCUGAUGCAGCGACGCCGCGUGUGGGAAGACGGUCCUCUGGAUUGUAAACCACUGUCCUCAGGGACGAAGAUGACGGUACCUGGGGAGGAAGCUCCGGCUAACUACGUGCCGGCAGCCUCGCUAAUACGUAGGGAGCGAGCGUUUUCCGGAAUUCCUGGGUGUAAGGGGAGCGUAGGCGGUACUGCAGGUCGGGUGUCAAGUCUACCGGCUCAACCGGUAGCCGCACUCAAAACUGCAGUUCUUGAGUGAAGUAGAGGCAGGCGGAAUUCCUAGUGUAGCGGUGAAAUGCGUAGAUAUUAGGAGGAACACCAGUGGCGAAGGCGGCCUGCUGGGCUUUUACUGACGCUGAGGCUCGAAAGUGUGGGGAGCAAACAGGAUUAGAUACCCUUGUAGUC